ensembl:lncRNA
AUCCUAAUGAGGAAUUUUAAUUCUUAAUAAUAUCCUUUUUUUUUUUUUCUCUCCAGGAAAUAAGAGUAAUUUCAGCUUUUAUCCAGCCUCCUGAAUUCAUCUUCCUAAGGACAAAUGUAGUUGUGAAGUCAAGAGGACAGUUGAAGACCAGUUUCUAGGAAUCUUUCUUCUCCAGGAAACCCUGUUGCUGUACUGUGACUUCAAAGCUGCUGCCAUGGCUGCAUGUGUGGAAAGCUAUCAUUUACUUGGCACGGGCAAAAUUUUCGUAUGGUACACACAUGGACAGAAAUUCCAAAACCUUAAACCAAAGAACUUUUCAUUUAAUGGAAAACUUGGAAAAAGAUCUUCUCAGCCUCUGCAGCAGUGUUAUGGAAAGAGACUGAGGCUACCAGCCCUUCCCAAACCAAUGAUCCCAGAAUCUCUGGAGGAAUUUGUGAAUUUGAAGAUCUAUUUCAGCUUCAUUGUUCCCCUGCCAUUUGAAUUACUGGCCCAGAAACAUAUAAUUCAAACAGAAUUCAACUGAGAAGUGCACUAUAAAUAAUAUUCUCACCAUACAGAAAAGUGAGUAUUAUAUAGGUAAUAUUUUAACCAAACUAGAAGAGCUCUGACUGUGCACUAACUCUUAUUUUGUUCCGCAGUGUUAACACUGGGGAUUAUAGUUAGCUUGCAGCUGGAAGGAAUGGAAUCUGGAACUUCCAGAUUUCUAUUCCAAGUAGAAAAGGUUUGCCAUUUAGUUUGACCAUUGCUACCAAAUACAUUUGAAAAAAAAUUAGUAGCAAAAAUCGAAACAUGGUAAUUUGAAGUCUGGUUUAAACCUUCUUACUAUUUUUCUUUCCUGUAACUAUAAAAUAAAAGUCUUCAUUCCAGUGGAUUUGUCA